GGAAGAAGUCUUCCUUGCUGCAUCUCCAGUAGCUCCUUGUUUGGAAUUCAUCAGCUGAUUCUCCCACGGAACCCAUGAUAUUUCUCUACUCACUCUUUGCUGCUACCGGAAUAGGGAAGGUGGGUUGCAUAUGACAAGCCUGUUUGUCCUUGGGAGCGGUUGAGUUCUUUAUGGAUUUCAAUGAAUAAAUUUUCUGAGGACCCAGU
rnacentral:lncRNA from 1 species